rnacentral:rRNA from 1 species
UGUUUCGGCUAGGGGGCCAUCCCGGCUUACCAACCCGAUGCAAACUGCGAAUACCGGAGAAUGUUAUCACGGGAGACACACGGCGGGUGCUAACGUCCGUCGUGAAGAGGGAAACAACCCAGACCGCCAGCUAAGGUCCCAAAGUCAUGGUUAAGUGGGAAACGAUGUGGGAAGGCCCAGACAGCCAGGAUGUUGGCUUAGAAGCAGCCAUCAUUUAAAGAAAGCGUAAUAGCUCACUGGUCGAGUCGGCCUGCGCGGAAGAUGUAACGGGGCUAAACCAUGCACCGAAGCUGCGGCAGCGACACUUUAGUGUUGUUGGGUAGGGGAGCGUUCUGUAAGCCGUUGAAGGUGUCCUGUGAGGGGUGCUGGAGGUAUCAGAAGUGCGAAUGCUGACAUAAGUAACGAUAAAGCGGGUGAAAAGCCCGCUCGCCGGAAGACCAAGGGUUCCUGUCCAACGUUAAUCGGGGCAGGGUGAGUCGACCCCUAAGGCGAGGCCGAAAGGCGUAGUCGAUGGGAAACGGGUUAAUAUUCCCGUACUUGGUGUUACUGCGAAGGGGGGACGGAGAAGGCUAUGUUGGCCGGGCGACGGUU